CACGUAGGGUGCGAGCGUUGUCCGGAAUUAUUGGGCGUAAAGAGCUCGUAGGCGGUGUGUCGCGUCGGCCGUGAAAACCUGCAGCUUAACUGUGGGCGUGCGGUCGAUACGGGCAUCACUGGAGUUCGGCAGGGGAGACUGGAAUUCCUGGUGUAGCGGUGAAAUGCGCAGAUAUCAGGAGGAACACCGGUGGCGAAGGCGGGUCUCUGGGCCGAUACUGACGCUGAUGAGCGAAAGCUAGGGGGAGCAAACGGG
rnacentral:rRNA from 1 species